rnacentral:rRNA from 1 species
AAUAUUGCACAAUGGGCGCAAGCCUGAUGCAGCCAUGCCGCGUGUAUGAAGAAGGCCUUCGGGUUGUAAAGUACUUUCAGCAGUGAGGAAGGUGGGUAUGUUAAUAGCAUACUCAUUUGACGUUAGCUGCAGAAGAAGCACCGGCUAACUCCGUGCCAGCAGCCGCGGUAAUACGGAGGGUGCGAGCGUUAAUCGGAGUUACUGGGCGUAAAGCGCAUGCAGGUGGUUUGUUAAGUCAGAUGUGAAAGCCCGGGGCUCAACCUCGGAAUUGCAUUUGAAACUGGCAAACUAGAGUACUGUAGAGGGGGUAGAAUUUCAGGUGUAGCGGUGAAAUGCGUAGAGAUCUGAAGGAAUACCGGUGGCGAAGGCGGCCCCCUGGACAGAUACUGACACUCAGAUGCGAAAGCGUGGGGAGCAAACAGGAUUAGAUACCCUGGUAG